GAUACGUUGAAGGGGUGCCAUGUGGAGUCGUUUGUCAAGCUGAAGGGGCUCGACAUCGAUGCCAUCCAGGAAUAUAUACACGGUGUGAUGAUCUGGGCUCCCAUGAUUGCCUCCUCGGCUACAACUACUUAGCUGGACAACGAUCACCUGACUGGUGCACCACGAGAUGCUAUUUGAUCCAAUUGACUGCACCUUUGGCUUGGGCGUAUUCAACAUGGACGACAUCACCACUUAGGUGAGUCGUUGGUUUCUCCUUCCUACUAUGGCCGUACGGUGCUCUGUUCUAGCCACUGAGCAGAUGAUCCAGUACUUAUGGCCUGUGGCGGUGGAUAUAAUCAUGAUCUAUGUUGUUAUCGACAUGUUGAGGCUUAGGGCACUAAAGGAGAGGUGCAUCGAUGACCUAUGACCAUUCAGGCUCAAGAUCUUGUUGAAGAUGGAUGGCAUGGUGAACCCAAAGACCAUCAUAACUGGCGAUGCAAGCAGUAACAGAAGCUGACAUGUCUUUGAUUAAAUUCAUCAACUUAGUUUGUUUAGUUUUGUUGUUUCAAUAUUACAGGAGAGCAUAGGCUAAGAAAGAGAUUUACCUAGAAGUCAUUGUUGUUACAAGAUGAUGGAACUUGAUACGCUCUAGGGGUGCCAUGUGGAGUCGGUUGUCAAGCCGAAUGGUCUCGACAUCGACACAAUCCAACACUCUAUACAUGGUGUGAUGAUCUGGGCUCCCAUGACUGCGUCCCCGAGCAGAACGAGUUAGUUCCACGACGACCACCUGGCUGGUGCACCGCUGGAUGCUAUUUGAUCCAAUUGGCUACGCCUUUGGCUGGGGCAUGUUCAACAUGGAUGACAUCAGAUGGGGAAGCCCUUACGGUGUCGGAGUCUUCCCUCGUGAUGAUAGAUAGAUUUUCCCUUGCCGAGCAUCAAGGCUGGGGGAACUGGAUACGCUCAAGCUGGAGGGCCUCGACAUCGAGACCAUCCAGCAAUCUAUAUACAGUGUGAUGAUCUGGGCGCCCAUGACUGCGUCCAUACUCAGCUGGACUGUGAUCACCUGGCUGGUGCAUCACGGGAUGCUAUUUGAUCCAAUCGACUGCACCUUUGGCUUGGGCAUACUCAACAUGGACGACAUCACCACUUAGGCGUCUUAUGAGCGGCACAAGAAAGCUUUUGAGCUUAGGCACAUGAAACGAGUGCCAAAGAAUCCGGUCGUCCGGUGAGGAGGUGUGUGUGUGCUGGAGUAGA